GAUGAACGCUGGCGGCGUGCCUAAUACAUGCAAGUCGAGCGAACGGACGAGAAGCUUGCUUCUCUGAUGUUAGCGGCGAACGGGUGAGUAACACGUGGAUAACCUACCUAUAAGACUGGGAUAACUUCGGGAAACCGGAGCUAAUACCGGAUGAUAUUUUGAACCGCAUGGUUCAAAAGUGAAAGACGGUCUUGCUGUCACCUAUAGAUGGAUCCGCGCUGCAUUAGCUAGUUGGUAAGGUAACGGCUUACCAAGGCAACGAUGCAUAGCCGACCUGAGAGGGUGAUCGGCCACACUGGAACUGAGACACGGUCCAGACUCCUACGGGAGGCAGCAGUAGGGAAUCUUCCGCAAUGGGCGAAAGCCUGACGGAGCAACGCCGCGUGAGUGAUGAAGGUCUUCGGAUCGUAAAACUCUGUUAUUAGGGAAGAACAUAUGUGUAAGUAACUGUGCACAUCUUGACGGUACCUAAUCAGAAAGCCACGGCUAACUACGUG
rnacentral:rRNA from 1 species